CAGUAGCGCGGUAAUACGUAGGUGGCAAGCGUUGUCCGGAUUUACUGGGCGUAAAGGGCGCGUAGGCGGACUGAUAAGUCAGGGGUGAAAUCCCAAGGCUCAACCUUGGAACUGCCUUUGAUACUGUUUGUCUUGAGUUCGAGAGAGGUAAGUGGAACUGCGAGUGUAGAGGUGAAAUUCGUAGAUAUUCGCAAGAACACCAGUGGCGAAGGCGGCUUACUGGCUCGAAACUGACGCUGAGGCGCGAAAGCGUGGGGAGCAAACAGGAUUAGAUACCCGCGUAGUCCCUGUCUCUUAUACC
rnacentral:rRNA from 1 species